CUCUGCUGAUUACGUCCCUGCCCUUUGUACACACCGCCCGUCGCUACUACCGAUUGAAUGGCUUAGUGAGACCCUCGGAUCGACUCAUGGAAACCUUCACGGGUAUCUAUUUGUUGAAAAGUUGGUCAAACUUGGUCAUUUAGAGGAAGUAAAAGUCGUAACAAGGUUUCCGUAGGUGAACCUGCGGAAGGAUCAUUAAAAAAUUGAGGUAUUCGUACCUCUUUGUAUUUAAAACCUUACUCUAUAAAACCUAAAAUUUAUAUAUAAAAUAAAUGAAAAAAUUUUAACAAUGGAUCUCUUGGCUCUCGCAUCGAUGAAAAACGCAGCGAAAUGCGAUAAGUAAUGUGAAUUGCAAAAUUCCGUGAAUCAUCAAAUUUUUGAACGCAAAUUGCGCUUCUUGGUAUUCCAAGAAGUACACCUGCUUGAGGGUCAGUUAAAAAAAAAAACACAACUCUUUUGUUGGGGAGGUGGGGGGUCCCAUUUUUUUUUUUUUUUGAAUACCUAAAAAUAAAAUUUGUUAUGGGGGGGGGGCGAAAAAAACAAAAAACCCUUUUCUCCCCUUUUUUCCCUUUCUACUAAAUAUUUAUUAUGUGGGGUGUAAAAAUUGAAAAAAAAAAAAAGAAAUGUGGGAGUACCCGCUGAACUUAUCCCCAUCUUUAAGCGGAGGAAAAGAAAAAAAAAAAAANACCUCCCGUCACCGCCCCUGGAGGGGGGGGAGGACNAAAUUUAAAACUACCCGNUUUCCAGGCCGCGUGGGGAUUUGAAGAAAAGAUUUUUACNUUCUCGGGUUGGGUCAAUUCCCUUUGGGGUAANGNACCAUGGGGGGGUGAGAAUCCCGGGUAUACNNNCNNCNGCACUGUUUAAUAUACACUUUUUAAAAAUCCANUUGUUUGGGNAUGCGGCUCUNAAUGGGGUGGGAAAUUUCACCUAAUGCUACCCUUUAACCCAANAAAC
rnacentral:misc_RNA from 1 species